rnacentral:rRNA from 1 species
CCCCCUACGGGACGCAGCAGUGGGGAUAUUGCACAGUGGGGGAAACCCUGAUGCAGCCACGCCGCGUGAGGGAAGAAGGUCUUCGGAUUGUAAACCUUUGUUUUUGGUGACAAAAGAAAUGACGGUAGCCAAAGAGGAAGCUCCGGCUAACUACGUGCCAGCAGCCGCGGUAAUACGUAGGGAGCGAGCGUUGUCCGGAAUUACUGGGUGUAAAGGGUGCGCAGGCGGGACAUUAAGUUGGAUGU